rnacentral:tRNA from 1 species
GGCCCCAUCGUCUAGUGGCCAAGGACGCGGGAUUCUCAGUCCCGAAACCCGGGUUCAAAUCCCGGUGGGGCCA